CAACCUCAACUCAUAUGGGACUACCCCCUGAAUUUAAGCAUAUUAAUUAGGGGAGGAAAAGAAACUAACAAGGAUUUUCUUAGUAGCGGCGAGCGAAAAGAAAUCAGUUCAGCACUAAGUCACUUUGUCUAUAUGGCAAAUGUGAGAUGCAGUGUAUGGAGCGUCAAUAUUCUAGUAUGAGAAAUUAACGAUUUAAGUCCUUCUUAAAUGAGGCCAUUUACCCAUAGAGGGUGCCAGGCCCGUAUAACGUUAAUGAUUACUAGAUGAUGUUUCCAAAGAGUCGUGUUGCUUGAUAGUGCAGCACUAAGUGGGUGGUAAACUCCAUCUAAAACUAAAUAUAACCAUGAGACCGAUAGUAAACAAGUACCGUGAGGGAAAGUUGAAAAGAACUCUGAAUAGAGAGUUAAAUAGUACGUGAAACUGCUUAGAGGUUAAGCCCGAUGAACCUGAAUAUCCGUUAUGGAAAAUUCAUCAUUAAAGUUAUAAUAUUUAAACAAUAUUAUACAAAUAAUGUGCAUUUUUUCCAUAUAA
rnacentral:ncRNA from 1 species